GAUGAACGCUGGCGGCGUGCCUAAUACAUGCAAGUCGAGCGAACAGACGAGGAGCUUGCUCCUCUGACGUUAGCGGCGGACGGGUGAGUAACACGUGGAUAACCUACCUAUAAGACUGGGAUAACUUCGGGAAACCGGAGCUAAUACCGGAUAAUAUAUUGAACCGCAUGGUUCAAUAGUGAAAGACGGUUUUGCUGUCACUUAUAGAUGGAUCCGCGCCGCAUUAGCUAGUUGGUAAGGUAACGGCUUACCAAGGCAACGAUGCGUAGCCGACCUGAGAGGGUGAGCGGCCACACUGGAACUGAGACACGGUCCAGACUCCUACGGGAGGCAGCAGUAGGGAAUCUGCCGCAAUGGGCGAAAGCUUGACGGAGCAACGCCGCGUGAGUGAUGAAGGUCUUCGGAUCGUAAAACUCUGUUAUUAGGGAAGAACAAAUGUGUAAGUAACUAUGCACGUCGUGACGGUACCUAAUCAGAAAGCCACGGCUAACUACG
rnacentral:rRNA from 1 species